CUUCUGACUGAAGAUGGCGGCCUGAGCAAAUAUAUUCAUUUUUCUGCCCUUUUAGAAUUUUGUUGGAAUUAAAGUACAGAACAAUAAAAAGAAACAAACCGUAACAGUGAAGAAACUGGUGGAGAGUUGUACACGGGAUGACAAACGAAUGGGAUAGAUUUCUAGAAGACAGAGGGGCCACAGAAUAGACUUCAGAAGGAAGGAGCUUUGAAUAGCCUUGCAGAGAGAAUACCCAAUGGUCAAAGAUGCUCUCAUAUUCCCUUUGGAGGAAGACCCUCUCUCCACGGAGCACUGAGGGGUAAGAACCAGCAAGGUCUAGCUGUGGCCAGAA
rnacentral:lncRNA from 1 species